rnacentral:tRNA from 1 species
GGAGUGGUAGUUCAGAUGGUUAGAAUACCGGGCUGUCAAUCCGGUGGUCGCGGGUUCGAGUCCCGUCCACUCCGCCA